rnacentral:rRNA from 1 species
UUUAGCUAAUGUUGCCCGUACCGUAAACCGACACAGGUGGGUGGGAUGAGUAUUCUAAGGCGCGUGGAAGAACUCUCUUUAAGGAACUCUGCAAAAUAGCACCGUAUCUUCGGUAUAAGGUGUGGUUAGCUUUGUAUUAGGAUUUACUCCGAAAGCAAGGAAACUUACAACAAAGAGUCCCUCCCGACUGUUUACCAAAAACACAGCACUCUGCUAACUCGUAAGAGGAUGUAUAGGGUGUGACGCCUGCCCGGUGCUCGAAGGUUAAUUGAUGGGGUUAGCAUUAGCGAAGCUCUUGAUCGAAGCCCGAGUAAACGGCGGCCGUAACUAUAACGGUCCUAAGGUAGCGAAAUUCCUUGUCGGUUAAAUACCGACCUGCAUGAAUGGCGUAACGAGAUGGGAGCUGUCUCAAAGAGGGAUCCAGUGAAAUUGUAGUGGAGGUGAAAAUUCCUCCUACCCGCGGCAAGACGGAAAGACCCCGUGGACCUUUACUACAGCUUGACACUGCUACUUGGAUAAGAAUGUGCAGGAUAGGUGGGAGGCUUUGAGUAUAUGACGCCAGUUGUAUAUGAGCCAUUGUUGAGAUACCACUCUUUCUUAUUUGGGUAGCUAACCAGCUUGAGUUAUCCUCAAGUGGGACAAUGUCUGGUGGGUAGUUUGACUGGGGCGGUCGCCUCCCAAAUAAUAACGGAGGCUUACAAAGGUUGGCUCAGAACGGUUGGAAAUCGUUCGUAGAGUAUAAAGGUAUAAGCCAGCUUAACUGCAAGACAUACAAGUCAAGCAGAGACGAAAGUCGGUCUUAGUGAUCCGGUGGUUCUGUGUGGAAGGGCCAUCGCUCAAAGGAUAAAAGGUACCCCGGGGAUAACAGGCUGAUCUCCCCCAAGAGCUCACAUCGACGGGGAGGUUUGGCACCUCGAUGUCGGCUCAUCGCAUCCUGGGGCUGGAGCAGGUCCCAAGGGUAUGGCUGUUCGCCAUUUAAAGCGGUACGCGAGCUGGGUUCAGAACGUCGUGAGACAGUUCGGUCCCUAUCUGCCGUGGGCGUAAGAAGAUUGAAGAGAUUUGACCCUAGUACGAGAGGACCGGGUUGAACAAACCACUGGUGUAGCUGUUGUUCUGCCAAGAGCAUCGCAGCGUAGCUAAGUUUGGAAAGGAUAAACGCUGAAAGCAUCUAAGCGUGAAGCCAACUCUAAGAUGAAUCUUCUCUAAGCUCUCUAGAAGACUACUAGUUUGAUAGGCUGGGUGUGUAAUGGAUGAAAGUCCUUUAGCUGACCAGUACUAAUAGAGCGUUUGGCUUAUCUUUAAUAAAGCAU